rnacentral:tRNA from 1 species
GGGCCGCUAGCUCAUGUUGGUAGAGCACCGCCCUUUUAAGGCGGGUGUGCCGCGUUCGACUCGCGGGCGGCUCACCA